rnacentral:ncRNA from 2 species
CUUCAUGAGUUGCCGUCCCCAAGCUCCGGCUGGGCGGCACGCCAACCCCACGUUCACGGGUGGCCCGGAUGACGAAGCGGCCCGCACCGACCGGUGCCGGGCAAGAGCGCCUC